UAUGGAGUUGGGUUUCAAGAGGGCAGACUUGUGGCGACAGAACAGCUGGGAUGGGAAGAGGACAGCCACCCAAGAAGCCACACGUAUGACCGCGACGAAAGCGCUCGGCUGUGGCUUCUUUUAAACACUCGAAUGCCUUGUGAGAAACCAUGACACCAAGUACGCUGAUCUGAAAAACACUUGGUUGGAGGUCAGUGGACUGAAGGGGGAAAUGUCCUAGAGUGUUGUUUACACUUAUAUUUUGCAGGCAAACCCUGCCCAAAUCUCAUGCAAACCUCUGAUCAGGAGAAGAAGACUUGAUGGCUACUAAAAACUGAUAUGUGGAACUGCCUCAAUCAAACCAAUCAAACCUCAUAUUUCUUUUUGGACAGAAAACCUUUGGA